GAGGGUAUAGCUCAUUGGCAGAGCACGUGCCUAGCAUGCACAAGGUCCUGGGUUCAACCUCCAGUGCCUCUA
rnacentral:tRNA from 1 species